AGAGUUUGAUCCUGGCUCAGAACGAACGCUGGCGGCAUGCCUAACACAUGCAAGUCGAACGAGACCUUCGGGGUCUAGUGGCGCACGGGUGCGUAACGCGUGGGAAUCUGCCCUUGGGUUCGGAAUAACAGUUAGAAAUGACUGCUAAUACCGGAUGAUGUCUUCGGACCAAAGAUUUAUCGCCCAGGGAUGAGCCCGCGUAGGAUUAGCUAGUUGGUGGGGUAAAGGCCUACCAAGGCGACGAUCCUUAGCUGGUCUGAGAGGAUGAUCAGCCACACUGGGACUGAGACACGGCCCAGACUCCUACGGGAGGCAGCAGUGGGGAAUAUUGGACAAUGGGCGAAAGCCUGAUCCAGCAAUGCCGCGUGAGUGAUGAAGGCCUUAGGGUUGUAAAGCUCUUUUACCCGGGAUGAUAAUGACAGUACCGGGAGAAUAAGCCCCGGCUAACUCCGUG
rnacentral:rRNA from 1 species